GCCUCACCUGACCUCAGCCGGGGGGAAAGAGUCACACUCACAGACAAUAAACAAUGGACUGGAUCUUCAGCUUGUGUAACUGGAAUAGCUACAACAAAGCUAACAGAGGUACAUCAACUUACACCAGCGAAGAAUCUGUGCCAGUGGCAGUAAAAGAGUAGCUGGGAGUCCGAAUGAUACCAUCAGUGAUGCGGGAGAAGCUGGAUUAAUGCUGUGGCAAGUCAAACAGGCACCUCAUUGGUCUCUGGAUUAAUCCUAUCAUGAAUCAAUGCUCCUGCCCACAGCUGCACAAGGAGUACUGUAGCCCUGAUGUACAAUGGAGAUAACUUUCAUUUUACGAGAUCACCCAAAGUAGUAGAACUGUUUUGUAUUAUAUACGACAGUCAGCAUUCCCAUCCUGCCCAUAACCGAUGAAAUUGAGACGUUUGCCAAACAUAGCAAAUGAAAGUCCGUGUUUCCUUCCUCCCAUGGAAGGCGGUGGCUAAGCUACCAUUGGCUUCAAGAGGGGUAGGA